rnacentral:rRNA from 1 species
UACGUAGGUGGCAAGCGUUGUCCGGAAUUAUUGGGCGUAAAGCGCGCGCAGGCGGUUUCUUAAGUCUGAUGUGAAAGCCCACGGCUCAACCGUGGAGGGUCAUUGGAAACUGGGAAACUUGAGUGCAGAAGAGGAAAGCGGAAUUCCACGUGUAGCGGUGAAAUGCGUAGAGAUGUGGAGGAACACCAGUGGCGAAGGCGGCUUUCUGGUCUGUAACUGACGCUGAGGCACGAAAGCGUGGGUAGCAAACAGG